ACGUUACCCGCAGAAGAAGCACCGGCUAACUCCGUGCCAGCAGCCGCGGUAAUACGGAGGGUGCAAGCGUUAAUCGGAAUUACUGGGCGUAAAGCGCACGCAGGCGGUCUGUCAAGUCGGAUGUGAAAUCCCCGGGCUUAACCUGGGAACUGCAUUCGAAACUGGCAGGCUAGAGUCUUGUAGAGGGGGGUAGAAUUCCAGGUGUAGCGGUGAAAUGCGUAGAGAUCUGGAGGAAUACCGGUGGCGAAGGCGGCCCCCUGGACAAAGACUGACGCUC
rnacentral:rRNA from 1 species